rnacentral:rRNA from 1 species
CGUGGAGGAAGAAGGUUUUCGGAUUGUAAACUCCUGUCGUUAGGGACGAUAAUGACGGUACCUAACAAGAAAGCACCGGCUAACUACGUGCCAGCAGCCGCGGUAAAACGUAGGGUGCAAGCGUUGUCCGGAAUUACUGGGUGUAAAGGGAGCGCAGGCGGACCGGCAAGUUGGAAGUGAAAACUAUGGGCUCAACCCAUAAAUUGCUUUCAAAACUGCUGGCCUUGAGUAGUGCAGAGGUAGGUGGAAUUCCCGGUGUAGCGGUGGAAUGCGUAGAUAUCGGGAGGAACACCAGUGGCGAAGGCGACCUACUGGGCACCAACUGACGCUGAGGCUCGAAAGCAUGGGUAGCAAACAGGAUUAGAUACCCUGGUAGUCCAUGCCGUAAACGAUGAUUACUAGGUGUUGGAGGAUUGACCCCUUCAGUGCCGCAGUUAACACAAUAAGUAAUCCACC